rnacentral:rRNA from 1 species
CCCUUAGAGUUUGAUCCUGGCUCAGGACGAACGCUGGCGGCGUGCUUAACACAUGCAAGUCGAACGGUGACGCUAGAGCUUGCUCUGGUUGAUCAGUGGCGAACGGGUGAGUAACACGUGAGUAACCUGCCCUUGACUCUGGGAUAACUCCGGGAAACCGGGGCUAAUACCGGAUACGAGACGCGACCGCAUGGUCGGCGUCUGGAAAGUUUUUCGGUCAAGGAUGGACUUGCGGCCUAUCAGCUUGUUGGUGAGGUAAUGGCUCACCAAGGCGUCGACGGGUAGCCGGCCUGAGAGGGCGACCGGCCACACUGGGACUGAGACACGGCCCAGACUCCUACGGGAGGCAGCAGUGGGGAAUAUUGCACAAUGGGCGAAAGCCUGAUGCAGCGACGCCGCGUGAGGGAUGAAGGCCUUCGGGUUGUAAACCUCUUUCAGUAGGGAAGAAGCGAAAGUGACGGUACCUGCAGAAGAAGCGCCGGCUAACUACGUGCCAGCAGCCGCGGUAAUACGUAGGGCGCAAGCGUUGUCCGGAAUUAUUGGGCGUAAAGAGCUCGUAGGCGGUUUGUCGCGUCUGGUGUGAAAACUCAAGGCUCAACCUUGAGCUUGCAUCGGGUACGGGCAGACUAGAGUGUGUAGGGGUGACUGGAAUUCCUGGUGUAGCGGUGGAAUGCGCAGAUAUCAGGAGGAACACCGAUGGCGAAGGCAGGUCACUGGGCCACUACUGACGCUGAGGAGCGAAAGCAUGGGGAGCGAACAGGAUUAGAUACCCUGGUAGUCCAUGCCGUAAACGUUGGGCACUAGGUGUGGGGCUCAUUCCACGAGUUCCGCGCCGCAGCUAACGCAUUAAGUGCCCCGCCUGGGGAGUACGGCCGCAAGGCUAAAACUCAAAGGAAUUGACGGGGGCCCGCACAAGCGGCGGAACAUGUGGUUUAAUUCGAGGCAACGCGAAGAACCUUACCAGGAUUUGACUUGCCCUCUGUGGACUCCCGAAAAGGAGUCCUUCACUUCGGGUGGGAGGAGCACAGGUGCUGCAUGGCUGUCGUCAGCUCGUGUCGUGAGAUGUUGGGUUAAGUCCCGCAACGAGCGCAACCCUCGUCCUCUGUUGCUAACAGGUUAGGCUGAGCACUCUGAGGAAACUGCCGGUGAUAAGCCGGAGGAAGGUGGGGAUGACGUCAAGUCCUCAUGGCCCUUACAUCCUGGGCUACACACGUGUUACAAUGGCGGUGACAAUGGGCAGCGAAGUCGCGAGAUGGAGCUAAUCCCCAAAAGCCGCCUCAGUUCGGAUCGUACUCUGCAACUCGAGUACGUGAAGCUGGAAUCGCUAGUAAUCGUGGAUCAGCACGCCACGGUGAAUACGUUCCCGGGUCUUGUACACACCGCCCGUCACACCAUGGGAGUUGGUUCUGCCUUAAGUCGCCCUUAAAGCGCCCACGGCAGGGUCAAUGACUGGGGUGAAGUCGUAACAAGGUAACCAAGGG